CUGAAGCAGGUUUAUGAGGCCGAAUAUCAUCCUUGAAGGGGACUCUCUAACCAUCAUUCAAUGGCUUGGUCCCAAACACAUCUCCUUAUCUAACUACCCACUUGUUCAUGAGAUUGCUCGGAUUAUUACCAAUUUCUCCCGCUUCUCUAUCCAGCACACUAAAAGGGAGGGUAACUGUGUUGCUGAUUGGCUGGCCAGGACCGGUAACACCAUCUUUCUUUCUCAGUUUGAUUUGCUCCACCCGGAUCUGGCGUCACUCCUAGCUUUCGAUGCUCGUGG
rnacentral:lncRNA from 1 species